rnacentral:rRNA from 1 species
GACGAACGCUGGCGGCGUGCUUAACACAUGCAAGUCGAACGGAAAGGCCCUGCUUUUGUGGGGUGCUCGAGUGGCGAACGGGUGAGUAACACGUGAGUAACCUGCCCUUGACUUUGGGAUAACUUCAGGAAACUGGGGCUAAUACCGGAUAGGAGCUCCUGCUGCAUGGGGGGGGUUGGAAAGUUUCGGCGGUUGGGGAUGGACUCGCGGCUUAUCAGCUUGUUGGUGGGGUAGUGGCUUACCAAGGCUUUGACGGGUAGCCGGCCUGAGAGGGUGACCGGCCACAUUGGGACUGAGAUACGGCCCAGACUCCUACGGGAGGCAGCAGUGGGGAAUAUUGCACAGUGGGCGGAAGCCUGAUGCAGCAACGCCGCGUGCGGGAUGACGGCCUUCGGGUUGUAAACCGCUUUCGCCUGUGACGAAGCGUGAGUGACGGUAAUGGGUAAAGAAGCACCGGCUAACUACGUG